AACGAACGCUGACGGCAGGCCUAACACAUGCAAGUCGAGCGAAGCCUUCGGGCUUAGCGGCGGACGGGUGAGUAACGCGUGGGAACGUGCCCUUUGGUACGGAAUAGCCCCGGGAAACUGGGAGUAAUACCGUAUGUGGUCGAGAGACGAAAGAUUUAUCGCCAAAGGAUCGGCCCGCGUUGGAUUAGGUAGUUAGUGGGGUAAUGGCCUACCAAGCCGACGAUCCAUAGCUGGUUUGAGAGGAUGAUCAGCCACACUGGGACUGAGACACGGCCCAGACUCCUACGGGAGGCAGCAGUGGGGAAUCUUAGACAAUGGGGGAAACCCUGAUCUAGCCAUGCCGCGUGAUCGAUGAAGGCCUUAGGGUUGUAAAGAUCUUUCAGUGGGGAAGAUAAUGACUGUGCCCACAGAAGAAGCCCCGGCUAACUCCGUGCCAGCCGCCGCAGUAACAC
rnacentral:rRNA from 1 species